rnacentral:misc_RNA from 1 species
GAAAUGCGAUACCUGGUGUGAAUUGCAGAAUCCCGUGAACCAUCGAGUCUUUGAACGCAAGUUGCGCCCGAGGCCAUUCGGCCAAGGGCACGCCUGCCUGGGCGUCACGCUAAACACGCUCCCAACCCCUUACGGGGGAACAGGAUGCAGCAUUUGGCUCCCCGUCACCCAAGGGCGGUGGGCCGAAGAUAUGGCUGCCGGCGCAUCGUGUCGGACACAGCGCGUGGUGAGCGUCCUCGCUAUACGUACCGCAGUGUCUCCGACACAUAGCCGGCGUGAUGGCCUAGAAUGACCCUUGUAACGGUGCGCAUGACGCUCCGACCGCGACCCCAGGUCAGGCGGGACUACCCGCUGAAUUUAA